rnacentral:rRNA from 1 species
UACAGAGGUCUCAAGCGUUGUUCGGAUUCAUUGGGCGUAAAGGGCGCGUAGGCGGCGGGGUAAGUCUGGUGUGAAAUCUCGGAGCUCAACUCCGAAAUUGCACUGGAUACUGCUCUGCUUGAGGGUUGGAGAGGAGAUCGGAAUUCACGGUGUAGCAGUGAAAUGCGUAGAUAUCGUGAGGAAGACCAGUGGCGAAGGCGGAUCUCUGGACAGUUCCUGACGCUGAGGCACGAAAGCGUGGGGAGCAAACAGG